CCGUUUGUUGUGGCGGUCGCCGGGACACGUCUUCACGCGAAGCGGCGGACCGGUACGGGGCUGUAGCGUUGGCGUCGGACUCGGCAUCCCGGUGCGCCCCUUUUUUCCGACC